AUUGAACGCUGGCGGCAGGCCUAACACAUGCAAGUCGAACGAGUGGCGGACGGGUGAGUAAUGUCUGGGAAACUGCCUGGUAGCGGGGGAUAACUACUGGAAACGGUAGCUAAUACCGCAUACCAUCGGAUGUGCCCAUAUGGGAUUAGCUAGUAGGUGGGGUAAAGGCUCACCAAGGCGACGAUCCCUAGCUGGUGUGAGAGGAUGACCAGCCACACUGGAACUGAGACACGGCCCAGACUCCUACGGGAGGCAGCAGUGGGGAAUAUUGGACAAUGGGCGAAAGCCUGGUGCAGCCAUCCCGCGUGUAUGAAGAAGGCCUUCGGGUUGUAAAGUACUUUCAGCGGGGAGGCGUUACCCGCAGAAGAAGCACCGGCUAACUACGUGCCAGCAGCCGCGGUAAUUC
rnacentral:rRNA from 1 species